AUGCUCGCUUGGGCAACACAUACAGUAAAACUGGAAGACACAGAGAAGACUGGCAUGGCCCCUGUGCAAGGAUGACACCCUUCAUGUAACUUUCCAUAAUUUU
ensembl:snRNA U6 U6 spliceosomal RNA